AGGUGGGAUGAGGGUGGGAUGAGGGUGGGAUGAAGGUGGGAUGAAGGUGGGAUGAAGGUGGGAUGAAGGAGGGAUGAAGGUGGGAUGAAGGCAGGCUGAAGAUGGGAAUCAAGGUGGGACUGAGGUGGGAUGAGGAUGGGAUCCUGGUGGGAUCUCACCAUUCCAGGUGGAUUCCCACCAUUCCAGAGAUGGACACCCGAGAUGGACACCAGAGAGGGACACAGAGAUGGACACAGAGAUGGACAACAGAGAUGGACACAGAGAUGGACACAGAGAUGGAACCCGGGGAUGGACACAGAGAUGGACACAGAGAUGGACACAGAGAUGGACACCAGAGAGAGACACCAAAGAUGGACACAGAGAUGGGCACCAGAGAUGGGCAUCAGAGAGGGACUCCAGAGAGGGACACCAGAGAUGGACACCAGACAUGGGCAUUAGAGGUGGACACCAGAGAAGGGCACCAGAAAUGGACACCAGAGAUGGAACUCGGGGAUGGACAACAGAGAUGGGAACAGAGAGGGACACAGGGAUGGGACACAGAGAUGGACACAGAGAUGGACACCAGAAAUGGACACCAGAGAUGGAACCCGGGGAUGGACACAGAGAUGGACACAGAGAUGGAACCCGGGGAUGGACACAGAGAUGGACACAGAGAUGGACACCAGAGAUGGGCACCAGGGAUGGACAGAAAGAUGGACACCAGAGACGGACACAGAGAUGGACACCAGAGAUGGACACCAGAGAUGGACACAGAGAGGGACCCCAGCCCUCCACCAGCAGGUUUCCAUGCCAGCCCUGGAUCCCAACACUGGGCACAAAUCCACCCUGUGGAGCUGCUCUGGUGCUCCCACACAGCCCUCAACCCCAAAAACCCAAAACCACCCCAAAAUCUCCUUCCCAAGAGACAAGGAACACCCGGCACUCACUGGUUUGGUGGAGGAGGAUGAGGAUGGCGAGAUGAGGGAUCCAAAACACGUCCAUGGAUGCCCAGAAACAGAGAGGAUUUGGGGCGCCAGCACCCAAAAACGAGCACCACAAAGAGGAAGCAGAAAAGUGCCCGGGUGGUUUUUCAGUGCCUGGGUGCAGGGCAGGGCUUUGGAUGUGGUUUGUGACAAAAAUGACGCGUGGAGGAAAGGCGAUUCUCGCUUCAGUGAAAAUUUGAGGCGUUGAAAAGAAACCAAACCCAACUCCAAUGCCCAGCAAGAUGAGGGUGGCUGUGGGGACAGAGAGUGUCACCGUGGCCGUGGG
rnacentral:lncRNA from 1 species